GUCUAUGGCCAACCACCCUGAACACACCCGAUCUCGUCUGAUCUUGGAAGCUAAGCAGGGUCAGGCCUGGUUAGUUACUUGGAUGGGAGAAAGUACAUUCAACAACUCUGAGCUCUAAAAGGUUUAGCUUUCACAGGUC
rfam:TPA: Bos taurus chromosome 9, whole genome shotgun sequence.